GUAAAUAUCUAAAGUUGAACU
rnacentral:miRNA from 1 species